rnacentral:misc_RNA from 1 species
AAUAAGUAUCUAGUUACUAUGACAAUGAGUAGGAUACAAAUAUGGAAAUUAAUAAAAAUAUGCAGUGGUAUACAAAUAUAUGUAUGCAUAUUUUGUUUAAGUAAAUUUAUGGUAUUAUUACUGUGCGAAGUUGGUUAAUUUAUUCAUUAAUUUAAAUAUUUUAAUUAGUUUCGAAUGAAUAAUUUUAUAAACUAUAUCUUAAACUACAAAAAAAGAAAAAGCAAUGGCCAGUGUUAAUACUAGUAUUGAACAAGAAAGAAAAAAGCAUAGUCAUAGAAGAGCAACAAGUGUUAAAAGCAAUCAAGAUACAACUUUUGUACCAGUAUAUUGUCGUAGACAUAUUUCAAAGACAAAACAUACACUUAAAGCGCAUAAGAAUUUAUCAGAUUGCAUAACUGAUAAUGAUAAUGAUAUGAAAAAUCAUGAGGAUGAAGUACUUUCGAAAAGAAAAAGUAAAAUAUAUGAACAUGAAAGAAGUAAAAAAUUAACUGAAGAGAAUAAUUCUCAGAAAACAUCGUUUGACAAGGAUGAUGCAGAUUCGGGUAUUAAUUUAUCAAGAUUAAAAGAUAAGUAUGUUUCAAAGGAAACAUUGAAAAUAGUUAAUGAAUACCAUAAAUUGGAAAAAUGUUACAAAAAUAUUCAAGAAGAAUGUCAAAAAUUAAAUAAUAUUUUGGAGCAAAGGGAAUUGGAAUAUAAGAAAUUAUGUUUACAUUAUGAGGCAUUGAUACAGAUGGUUCAAGAAUUAGAAGAAGCAAAAAUUAAUUUACUUAAACAAAAUAAACAACUUGAAACAGAAAAGAUUCAAUCGAAUGAGGAUAUUACGCUUUUAAAAACUAUUGUAUAUCAAUUAAAUGCUGAAUUAGAAAGAUACCAAGACAAAUUAGGAGACCGAAAACAUGAAAAUGUUUCUGCAUCCAAUAACGGUAACAAUGAAAAGAAAUAUGAUUCAAGAAUUUGGGGAAAUAUCAAUUUUCAUGCAUUAGGUCCACUUUUAAAUGCUUAUCAAGAAAAUUUAUUAGAAAAACAAGAACUUAUAUAUAUGUAUGAACAGGAAAUGGCUGAUUUUAGUAGUAGAUGUAAACAAAUUCUUACAGAAAAUGAAAUUAUGCAUAAAGAAGUAGAAGAAUUGAAAUCAGAGUGUGACAGGUAUACAAAGGAAAUACAAAAAAUGGUUGAAAAUACCGCGUUGCUAAAGAAACAGAAUGAUAUUUUAAAAAAGGAAACUUUAAAUAUAAAAAGAGAAACUAAUGAUAUUCGUUCGUCAUAUGAAUCAAAAAUAGAAGUGAUUUUAAAAUGCAAUGAAGCUCUAAAAAAAGAGCAUUCAAUAACAAUAUCAGAAUUGAGCAAUUUACGAGGGAAAUAUGAAAUUUUAAGUAAAGAAUUUGAAGAAAUGAGGAAUAAAGAACAACAAACAGUGCCUACUACUGUUCAUGUUACUGCUAUUGAAGAAUGUAAAAUAUUAUUGGAUGAAUUAAAAUAUCAAUAUGAAAAUGAAAAACGUGAUCUUUGUAAUCAUAUAAAACAUAUAGAGGAAAUUCAACCUGAAAAUGAAAAAAAACUUAUAAUGGUUAUAGCCGAAAGAAAUCAUUUGAAAGGACUUGUUAACAAUCUUGAAACAACUUUAAAACGAACUCAACGUAAAAGUGAACAAAUGCAAACUCUUGUUUAUUCGACUCGUGUUUCACGUAAUUCUUUGAAAGAGAAAUUAAGUAAAGUAACUGCUUAUUGUGAAGAAUUAUUUUCGGAAUAUGAAAGAAUUGUUUCAGAAAGAGAAAAAUUACUAUCUUUUUUACGUGAAACGGAAAAAGAAAAUGCAAAUAUGGAUCGUCUUGGUAAAAGUAUUACUAGUCGAGUGGAAGGCUUAAAAAAUCAAUUAGAAAUUGUUCGAAAAGGUACGAAACAACAGGUAGAUUCUGUAGAAAAACGUAUAAAAUUACAAGAACUUCAUGUACGUCGAAUGAAACACGAUUAUCAACGUAAAAUACAAUAUUUAAACGAUGUAAUUAAACAACAGGAAGAUAUUAUUGGCAAAUUACAAAAAGAAAAACAUUCUAGUCAAGAUACGUUAACAAGACGAGUACUUCAGGCAACAAAUGAGCCAAACAAUUAUAGUACUGGACCAAAAAAUUCGUGAAUUAAGUUCGUAAAAUAUUUCCAUAUUAUUAAACUCAUAUUAAGAUCAUCCAUAAUAGAUUGGACUUUGAAAUUGAUUUUUAACCAAUCUCGUAAUAAGCAUCUAAUUAUGGAAUAGGUGCUACUCGAAACACCGUCCUCGUAUUUACCGACCGUGUCAGUCGCUUUAUUUAGCGGUGACAUCAAAUGAAGCAAAUGGCUACGAAGGCUACCGUGUGGACGCCACUGUAUGAACGACUGAUGGCAGUGGAGACUAAUAAUCAUAUAGUGAAAAGUUGAUGUCAUCCGUUAUAGAAUUUAAUAAUAAAUUGAAAAACAUCGAUAAUAUAUUGAUGUAUAUUGGUAUUAUAACAAUCACCAAUACGAUAUUCAAAAAAUUAUUUCUUCAAGUAUAAGAUGACUGUUAAAGAUA